UGUGAGUGGGGUCAACCUCUAAUACGUGUCUUCCCUUCCCAUUCAGGCUAAUCUAUCUCCUCCCUCUUUCUGUGCCUCUUCGGUGUGUGUCUGUAUCGAAGAAGAUAGUAGACAAGUCUGUACAGGUUCGGAUGCUCAGAUUACCGACUGCGCAUAGACAGGUUCAGAUUCAACUAGCAUAUCAGAUUUAGCAGUGAGUCCUCCUCAUUCGAGCAUAUUUUUUUAUUCCUUUAUCUUAGUAGACUCAGUAUUUCAGUAGAUGGAGUCAGUUGGGGGAUUGUCUCAUCAACUCCACUUUCAGGCAGUUUUAGAUUAGAGGCUUCUCGGACUAGACUUUCACACAGUAUAGUUUUACAAAUUACUAUUAUCAGUUGAUAUUCUUUAUCAGUAUUUACAGAUUUUGAACCUUAUGGCAUUUCAG